AGAACAUGACAAAAACAUGACAAAACCUAAGCAUAGAAUCAUGACACAUGGAUUUAGACUCCUAUGAAUUAUUGCAGGAUGACGAGGAACUGCUAUUGGGUCAGCACCACUGUUGACCCGGUUUCCUAGAGAGACUCAUCUUUGUUGAAUUUGUCCUGCUGUGCAUCACAAAGCUGAAAAAGGAAUGGACCUCUACUACUGCUCAGGAACAAGAGGGCUCUGCAUCCUCCUGACACAGCCAAGAACAAACAACCCCCACUACAGCAGAGCUCUCCAUGGCAGACAGAGCAGGGUGGUCACGUGAUGCGGCCUUCCUCUGGAAAUCUCUUCUCUCUGUCACUGCUGCAUGUCAGCUGUUUGGUCGCUCUCUAGUCUACAACGUGUUGGCUUCUUUUCUUGAUGUUCAUUGAUCUGCAUAGCAAAAACAUGGCUGACCUGACUCCCGUUCUUCAGUUUGUUCAAGACUCAAAAUGAACAGAGAUAUUCUGAUUAAAGUUAUGAGUUUCCAUUUGAGA